GUUGCCACGCGUCAAUUUCUGAAACUUAAAACCGGGAAAGACCCUGGAAUUUCUGGUGCUUGGCUUCACACGCACAAAUUGCAUCGAGGGACUGAUGAAGAGCAGAUAUGCAGUCAAAGAACUGCUGAUCAUUGGGAGGAUUUUGAUAAGGCAAUGAAAAAUGCCCAUGGAGAAAAUUGGGAAGAGGAGCACCCGGAUUUAGAUGGACAGAUCAUCUAUGAAGCAGCAGGCAGAAUGCCACAUGGCAGGCUGGGAAUUGCUAAUGAGUUUUUUAGCAAAGCAGAGAAGGCGAAGUUUAAGUCUAAAAGGGUGAUGGCCUCAC